UUAUGCAUGCAAGUCGAGCGAAGCUUUUCAGUAGUUUACUACAGAAAAUGACUGAGCGGCGAACGGGUGAGUAACGCGUGAGCAACCUACCUUAGUUACUGGGAUAGCCCGAGGAAACUCGGAUUAAUACCGGAUAUUCUUAUUUAAUCACAUGAUUUUUUAAGGAAAGGUCAGCCGAACUAAGAUGGGCUCGCGUUCUAUCAGCUAGUUGGUAGGGUAAUGGCCUACCAAGGCUACGACGGAUAGCUGGUCUGAGAGGACGAUCAGCCACACUGGGACUGAGACACGGCCCAGACUCCUACGGGAGGCUGCAGCAGGGAAUAUUGCGCAAUGAGCGAAAGCUUGACGCAGCGACACCGCGUGUGGGAUGACGGAUCUAGGUUUGUAAACCACUUUCAGGAGGGAAGAAAAUGACGGUACCUCCACAAGA
rnacentral:rRNA from 1 species